rnacentral:lncRNA from 15 species
AGCUAUUUUUGCAUUGAGAAGAGAAAAAACUUUUUACCCCUUAUAGGAGAGAUAAUUUUUCUCCUAUUCUAGGUCAUUCUCAAAAGGUGGUCAAGAGAGAAAUAAAAUCCCUCUCCUCCUACAUCAUCUAUCCCUGGCCUUGAGGAAGACAGGGAGCGAAGACGAAGAAGUUGGAACAGAGACGGAGGUGAGAGGGAAGGACAGACAUGAACGGUGAAUGAAAGGGGGAGAGAGAAGCCUCGAAGAAGAGAGAAGUGGGGUACAGAGCGACGGGGAGAGGAGGGAAUCACUCAGUCGUUUCUGCGGAAGGAAAGGAGGGAGAAGAUGGCUCGUCUGAACUCUUUGCACAAAAUCAACUAUCAGCAGC